AGGAUAAACGUUGGCGGCGUGCCUAAUGCAUGCAAGUCGCACGAGGGCUUCGGCCCUAGUGGCGGACGGGUGAGUAACACGUACGAAUCUGCCCGGAGGUGGGGGACAACUUCCCGAAAGGGAAGCUAGUACCGCAUACGGUCUACGGACCAAAGCCGAAAGGCGCCACCGGAGGAGCGUGCGGCGGAUUAGCUUGUUGGUGGGGUAACGCCUACCAAGGCGACGAUCCGUAGCUGGUCUGAGAGGAUGGUCAGCCACACUGGGACUGAGAUACGGCCCAGACUCCUACGGGAGGCAGCAGCAAGGAAUUUUGCACAAUCGACGCAAGUCGGAUGCAGCAACG
rnacentral:rRNA from 1 species